AACGAACGCUGGCGGCGUGCCUAACACAUGCAAGUCGAACGAGACCGUCUUUUCGGGUGUCCUACGGUGGCGAAAGGGGGGGGAACAUGCCCGUGAGCUCGCCAUAACUCCGGGAAAGGGGUGGGAAUAUCGGAUUAUUUCUUCGGAGGAAAGCUUUAUCGCUUGUGUGUUGGCCCGCGUCCGAUGAGCUUGUUGGUGCGGCAAAGGCCUACCAAGGCGACGACGUAUAGCCGGACUAAGAGGUUGAUCGGCCACAGGGAGACUGGGAUUCAGCCCAGACUCCUACUCGUGGCAGCGGUGGGGAAUAUUGCACAAGGGGCGCAAGCCUGAUGCAGCGACGCCGCUGGGGGGAUGACGACCUACGGGUUGUAGUCGCCUAUCGCCAUUGACGAAGCGUAUUAUGACGGUACCUGGAGAAGAAGCUCCGGCUAACUACGUG
rnacentral:rRNA from 1 species